rnacentral:miRNA from 1 species
GGGAUAAAAUGCAGGGAGGUGCUCACUCUCUGCUGCCGAUUCUGCCCAGAGAUGGUUGCCUUCCUAUAUUUUGUGCC